rnacentral:rRNA from 1 species
AUUGAACGCUGGCGGCAGGCCUAACACAUGCAAGUAGAGCGGAGCGGCGGACGGGUGAGUAAUGCCUAGGAAUCUGCCUGGUAGUGGGGGAUAACGUACGGAAACGGGCGCUAAUACCGAGUACUAUCAGCUGCGCCUAGGUCGGAUUAGCUAGAUGGUGGGGUAAAGGCCUACCAAGACGACGAUCCGUAACUGGUCUGAGAGGAUGAUCAGCCACACGGGAACUGAGACACGGUCCAGACUCCUACGUGAGGCAGCAGUGGGGAAUAUUGGACAAUGGGCGAAAGCCUGAUCCAGCCAUGCCGCGUGUGUGAAGAAGGUCUUCGGAUUGUAAAGCACUUUAAGUUGGGAGGCGUUACCAACAGAAUAAGCACCGGCUAACUUCGUGCCAGCAGCCGCGGUAAUAC